UGGGGAAUAUUGCACAAUGGGCGCAAGCCUGAUGCAGCCAUGCCGCGUGUAUGAAGAAGGCCUUCGGGUUUUAAAGUACUUUCAGCGGGGAGGAAGGGAGUAAAGUUAAUACCUUUGCUCAUUGACGUUACCCGCAGAAGAAGCACCGGCUAACUCCGUGCCAGCAGCCGCGGUAAUUCGGAGGGUGCAAGCGUUAAUCGGAAUUACUGGGCGUAAAGCGCACGCAGGCGGUUUGUUAAGUCAGAUGUGAAAUCCCCGGGCUCAACCUGGGAACUGCAUCUGAUACUGGCAAGCUUGAGUCUCGUAGAGGGGGGUAGAAUUCCAGGUGUAGCGGUGAAAUGCGUAGAGAUCUGGAGGAAUACCGGUGGCGAAGGCGGCCCCCUGGACGAAGACUGACGCUCAGGUGCGAAAGCGUGGGGAGCAAACAGG
rnacentral:rRNA from 1 species